UGUGACAUUGAAACCGUUUUUAAUCCGGCUUGUAGUAAGUGAUUUGAAAAUUACUACCGGUGACCAAUAACUUAUAAGUGCCUGACCGAUAACGCAGCUACAAGGCUGAGCGUUGAUAAUUUCUGCGAUUUGGUGUAAUUGUGAUCACAAAGGGCCGUCUAAGUGAAAACUGGUUUCGCCGAACGAAUAAGAUAUUUUCUGCAUGGUUUUCACUUCCUGGAUGAUGGACCCCACAAUGAUGGGCUAGGUUCCAUUAUGUGGAUAUGAGAUCGACCUAUUUCUUUCCGGAACUUGUUUUAUUCUUUAAACAAGUAUCCAGAGUGGCUAUUUUGAUGACGCCAAAAGCCAAUCCGAACA